GACGAACGCUGGCGGCGUGCUUAACACAUGCAAGUCGAACGCUGAAGCUCAGCUUUUGUUGGGUGGAUGAGUGGCGAACGGGUGAGUAACACGUGAGUAACCUGCCCCCUUCUUUGGGAUAACGCCCGGAAACGGGUGCUAAUACUGGAUAUUCACUGGUCUUCGCAUGGGGGUUGGUGGAAAGGGUUUUUCUGGUGGGGGAUGGGCUCGCGGCCUAUCAGCUUGUUGGUGGGGUGAUGGCCUACCAAGGCUUUGACGGGUAGCCGGGCUGAGAGGGUGACCGGUCACAUUGGGACUGAGAUACGGCCCAGACUCCUACGGGAGGCAGCAGUGGGGAAUAAUGCACAAUGGGCGCAAGCCUGAUGCAGCGACGCCGCGUGAGGGAUGGAGGCCUUCGGGUUGUGAACCUCUUUCGCUCAUGGUCAAGCCGCAACAAUGGUUGUGGUGAGGGUAGUGGGUAAAGAAGCGCCGGCUAACUACGUG
rnacentral:rRNA from 1 species